AUACGGAGAGUGCAAGCGUUGUUCGGAAUUACUGGGCUUAAAGAGCGUGUAGGCGGAACAUCAGGUGCUUUGUGAAAGCCCCGGGCUCAACCCGGGAAUCGCGUGGCAAACCGAUGUUCUUGAGGCAGGUAGAGGUGACUGGAACAACUGGUGGAGCGGUGAAAUGCGUAGAUAUCAGUUGGAACGCCAGCGGCGAAAGCGAGUCACUGGGCCUGUCCUGACGCUGAGACGCGAAAGCGUGGGGAGCGAACAGGAUUAGAAACCCCGGUAGUCC
rnacentral:rRNA from 1 species